GACGAACGCUGGCGGCGUGCUUAACACAUGCAAGUCGAACGGAAAGGCCCUGCUUGCAGGGUACUCGAGUGGCGAACGGGUGAGUAACACGUGGGUGAUCUGCCCUGCACUUCGGGAUAAGCCUGGGAAACUGGGUCUAAUACCCGAUAGGAGCCCUUUUUAGUGUGAUGGUUGGAAAGUUUUUUCGGUGUAGGAUGAGCUCGCGGCCUAUCAGCUUGUUGGUGGGGUAAUGGCCUACCAAGGCGGCGACGGGUAGCCGGCCUGAGAGGGUGGACGGCCACAUUGGGACUGAGAUACGGCCCAGACUCCUACGGGAGGCAGCAGUGGGGAAUAUUGCACAAUGGGCGCAAGCCUGAUGCAGCGACGCCGCGUGGGGGAUGACGGCCUUCGGGUUGUAAACUCCUUUCGCUAGGGACGAAGCUUUUUGUGACGGUACCUAGAUAAGAAGCACCGGCUAACUACGUG
rnacentral:rRNA from 1 species